CAGAGGAUAAUGAAAGUGGAAUUCACUCAGUGUUCAAUGAAUGUGGUCUCCAAAACGCUUUUUAAAAAGAGUCCAAUUCAUCAUCACAUUGAUAGGAACAUGAUUAAUUUUCCU
rfam:Simian hepatitis A virus gene for polyprotein, complete cds.